GUCCAGAUAGUUUAGGAAAAACAUCGGUCUUGUAAGCCGAAGCCGAGGACUAAACCCCUCUCCGGACA
rnacentral:tRNA from 1 species